CAUGCCUAUGUUUUCCAUUUACAGAUUAUUUCCAUCACAGUAUUCAUUUACCAUGUACAGCAUAUAGUUUCACCUAUAAAUGUAUGCACAAAUAUUGUAAAAUAUAUGAAGAGGAUUAUUAUAAUUUUUACAUCCUUCCUUCAUCAAUACCUUUGUUCAUCAAACUUUAUUAAGAACUCUAGAUUUACAGCAUUCAUCAGCCUUGUUUUCUCUUUGAGAAAGGAAUAUUGGUAGGGAAGGUAUCAUAGGAAGAUAUCAUUUCUUUCUCUGUAACAUCUGUACUUUGUUAACCUUCUGUUGGUAUCUGUAAACAAUAAAAAAGCCAAGAAAAAACUAAAAAUUUUCAGCUAAAUUAUAUUCUUAAUAAAGAAACACAAGAAAGAAUGCUCAAAGUAUUUUAAGAACGAACUUUGGAAACAGCAGGACAAGACAUUUUAAAUUGAAAUGAAUUAUUGAAGAAGUAUAUUGUUAUAGCUCCUUUUUAAUGAGUGAAAUUUUAUGCUAUUUCUUUCCUGCCUCCUCUCAAACUUGGAAAUUACCAUGAAUACUAGCUACACCAAUAUUUAACUUCUUGACUUUUAAAAAACUGAUGAAUAACACCACCAAGAAUAAUAUAUCUAUCUUGCUUUAAG
rnacentral:lncRNA from 1 species